GACAGCAGUAGCCGCGGGAAUACGAAGGGUGCAAGCGUUACUCGGAAUUACUGGGCGUAAAGCGUGCGUAGGUGGUGGUUUAAGUCCGUUGUGAAAGCCCUGGGCUCAACCUGGGAAUUGCAGUGGAUACUGGGUCACUAGAGUGUGGUAGAGGAUAGUGGAAUUUCCGGUGUAGCAGUGAAAUGCGUAGAGAUCGGAAGGAACAUCUGUGGCGAAGGCGACUAUCUGGGCCAACACUGACACUGAGGCACGAAAGCGUGGGGAGCAAACAGGAUUAGAUACCCCGGUAGUCCCUGUCUCUUAUAC
rnacentral:rRNA from 1 species